rnacentral:lncRNA from 1 species
UUUUAUUCUUCAUUCUUUUCCUUUCUAUUUCUUAUUUCUUCAUUUUCACUUAUUUUCUUCCCAUUUUUAUUUCAUUUAUUUUAUCACUUAUUUCUUUUUAAUCUCACAUGUUUAUAAAUAUAAUUAGAAUAUUUUCCAUCCAUAUACUUUGUACAUUAUUUAUUUUAUAUUUUAUCACUAUUAUUUGGAUAUUUAUACCCUUGUUUUGAUGGUGGCUGAUGACAAAUUUAUUGAUCAUGGUAAUGGAUUUUUUAGGGUUGAUAAAAUCUUCAAUCUUUUAAACAU